rnacentral:lncRNA from 1 species
GUUUCUUUUAUUAUUAUUCUUUAGGCUUAGUUAUGAGACUGCAAAGAGAAGCCAAAAUGAAGAACAUCUGCCUGAAUGCAGCCAAACACACACUGCAGCAAACCCAGAAGCACAGGCUGAAGGUUGACACUUGGAAGCAGAAUCAGUAGGAGGAUUGAUUUUGCUCCCUUGAAGAACAUAUUGGCUUUUCAAUGAAAUACUGAAUGAUUCAGGUGUGAGCUUGACCUCAUCAAUUUUCAGGCUCAAAUUUUUAUGUUUAAAACUAUGGGGAUUUUAUGUUGAACGUUACUUUCAUGUCUUGCAAGAACUGCAGCUCAGCUGUUUAUAUCCCUUUUCUUUUUUCAUAAUUUUCAAAUGCAACGUCCCACAUGAAAAAUUAUCAUGUCUAAGUGU